rnacentral:lncRNA from 1 species
AAAACUCUAUGCUCUCAGGGUAGUGAGAGCAACGGAGGCACGGAGGAGAGCCACAAUGGAUAAACUAACGGGCUACGGUAGGACCGCGCUUUGAUUUAUAAUCCGUAGAGAGAUACCAUCUCGUUUGCCAUCCACGAGAGACAAGUGAAAUAACGGUUAAGGGAUCUCACAACCUCGGAAAUAGACCACCAAUUCGACAUGGAUCCGUUGAGCAUCGACAGCGCCUUUUAGAAACCGGCUGCCUCCGCCUGCUUCAAAGGCGGAUUUGGGAUGAGAAGCGUUUAUCGUUUUCUGUACUGUCCUCUCUUCAUAGGUAAAUAAUCUGAUUUCAUUUCCUCGGUAAAAAGCUAUUCUAUAGGCUAGCCAUAUGCUUCUCAUCCUAUAUCGGAACCCUUACUGCUGCCUUCCACGCGGGUGCGCAGCCCUCCAUUGGAUGGCAAAAGAACCAGGACAAAUUUCCUCGCAUUGAAAAGUGGAACCCAUACGAUACUCUGGCAGUAUGUACGAGAAGGAGUCGGUUGCUAUCUUUGGUUAUCUAGCUGUAUGAGUGUUACUCGGCCGUCAUAAAGCUAGCUAACCGAAAGUAGGAAUGUCCUCCAAACCUGCGACUCGGACAGGAAUAAAUGGUGUCUGGGAGUAAAGACACAUAACAUAAUUGAUAUGCAAUUACAGGCCAAUACCUCAGUGCCUUUCCGGUUGAUCCAGUGCCCUUGUCACUGCAGUGGCUGCCUGAGAUACACACAGAAACUCUGCAGUGUGAACAGCACACGCUGUCUACUAUAUGUGACUGCCAGCCAUUCACACCAGGUCUGGAUUGAGCGAGGGGAAAGUGGCACAGUCGUCACAAAAAAAGGAAAAAGCAGGAGGGGAAGAAAAAGGCCAACCCCCUUGUCCCUCUUCCCUUAAAUCUCCAUCACCGGAAGCCUUUGGUGCCAUCUGUGCCCCCGGAGAAAAGGACGGGCGAGAUGCCUCCACCCUGUGCCAACGGGGACAAAGGAGCUGCCAGUUAGAGCGGCCCCCCUCGCAGGCAGCCAGAGGACUCUGUGUGACUGACUGGGGCUGAGCUACGGAAGCCAUCUUGAUGGAGAGUCUUGCUGCUGCUCCUAAAAUGGCUGUGUUGGCAUGAGGUCCUGCUGGUGUUGACAACCUCCAGAGGAAGCCUCUUCCACCAGCCCUGAGCCCUUGGCCCUGAGUCCUGGGCCCUGAGUCCUGGGCCCUGAGUCCUGGGCCCUGGGCCCUGGCAGUCGGUCUAGAAGCACCAAUGGGAAUAGCAUAUCAGAUCCCAGGAUGUCAUGCAAGGCCUUCCUCAUUGGCAUCCUCUCCAGUCAAACACUGAGAAAUGAGGGCACUGAAGAAUCCCCCCUAAAGUUAAUGUUUGGAUAGAUUUACUGUAAGGACAAUGUUUGGAGUUAUUUGAAGACAUUGCUUGCAGGAGUUGCACAUGGAUUAUCUGCAGAUAUAUUGCACUUGGGUAAUCAAUGUUCCCCAGCUGAGAGUGAGUGUAUAGUUUCAACAUCAUUUUUAACAUUACAGCAAAAUGUAAAACAAUGUGUGUAUGAUGUUAAAUCAAAAGGGAUGUGAUCAACUUGUGUUCAUUCCUUAAUUUAAGGACGUGUGUGUGUGUGUGUGUGUGUGUGUGUGUGUGUGUGUGUGUGUGUGUGUGUGUGUGUGUGUGUGUGUGUGUGUGUGUGUGUGUGUGUGUGUGUGUGUGUGUGUGGUUUGGUCCCUAUUGUACUCUGUAGAGUACUCUGGAGUGUACUGGGCUUCAGAGAAGCACUACAGUGCCCUAAUGUGUGGGCUGUUUACAAGAGAAGCUCUCUGGAUGUCUAUCCUCUGUCAUGUGCAAUUAGUUACUUUAUGAAUAGAACUGACUACUCUAUGCAAAUAAAUGUGAAUGACUCACCCUCUGGCUGUAUUGCAAAUGUUGUUUAAUGUUUGACUGUCACAGUGAAAAGAAAGACAUUGUUUGGUGAAGAUUCCAUCCAUUUACUGUAUAUCCAUCAAAUGCUGCAUUUUUCCUAUUACAAAUAUUAUCUGCAUGUGUUCAUAGUGAUCAGGGAAUGUUCAACAUGAAAUGUGUUGGAUACAUUAUUGAAGCAGUCAGAUUAAUAGCCGUCUCAUUGCCUGAUUAUUACUAUUAUCCUUAUUCAGAGAGAUAGACAGUACAUACCUGCAGUAAAGAAAGGGACACAUACUUGUACACUAACAUCAUGCAAAGCAUGUUUUUGUAAUUGAGUUCUGACUUGUCAUGACUUCUGUGCUGUUGAAUUGAAUGUGUAUACAGAAUAAAUAAUUCAACAGAUGUCUAAAAGAUUCAAGUGUUUUUUAUUGGAAAUACAGAAAUGAUUGAUAUUGAAGUUUAUAUGUCUGCAUUUAGACAGGCAGCCCAAUUCUGAUUUUUUUUAACCAAUCACAUCGGAUCAUUUCACAUCAGAUCUUUU